UACGACUCUGACCCUUCCGCCAGCCCCGAGUCCUCACAACACUCGUUGUAGGAAGUAUUCACCUUUUAAAACUGAAGGACCGAAGGCUCAGAGAAGUGAAGUAAUUUGCACAAGAUUACACAGCAGCGCUGGAUUUCAGAUAGUCAAUUAUCUUUACUAUGAAAGGAACAUAACUAUAUCUUACGAAAUGUUUUGAAGUGAUUCAUGUAAAGCACCUUACAUCCUCCUUACCUCUGUUUUUGUCCAUCCACCCUAGAGCAGCGACCAAUUCUGAUUUCGAGCUGAGUUCGCAGCACCUGACACAGGAGAAACAGUAUGCAUACUGAGCAAAAGGCCUGAAGCGGAGAUUGCAGAUCUUACCCAGCAAAAGAUAUGGGUUGUGCGUCUUCAGGGAGAAUUCCUACAAGAGAGAUUAUCCGAUUAAAAGGGUGUUCACACUUGAGAAGAAGGGGUCUGAAAAGAUUUCUAAG